rnacentral:rRNA from 1 species
UACGUAGGGAGCAAGCGUUGUCCGGAAUCAUUGGGCGUAAAGCGCGCGUAGGUGGCCCGGUAAGUCCGCUCUGAAAGUCACAGGCUCAACCUGUGAAAGCGGGUGGAUACUGCCGGGCUAGAGUCCGGAAGAGGCGAGUGGAAUUCCUGGUGUAGCGGUGGAAUGCGCAGAUAUCAGGAGGAACACCAAUGGCGAAGGCAGCUCGCUGGAACGGUACUGACGCUGAGGCGCGAAAGCGUGGGGAGCGAACAGG